AGGAAGUACAAAUUAUUCUGGGAUCUGAUAUAGUAGGGAGACACUAAGGUAAGGAUUUCUUUCAGAAUUGAUUUGUUUCAACACAAUAACACAUUUAAAUGUAUUAGAGAGGUUUUUGCAUCAAGAUAAUUGAUGCAUGAUAUUAUUAAUAUCAUCACUGAAUUUUUUGGUAUGCAUUUGGUAAUUCUCAAAUUUAGGGGGAAAUUAGAUAAAAUAUAGAAGUGUUUUGAUCAUUUUAAGCUUUUAUCAUUGAUAUUGAAUGCUUGCUAAAUUAUGAUUUGAAGAUAUACCAUUUAAAAUUAUCUUCUUUAUCUGUAUCUUGUGUGAGGAGGUUUUAUGUCUGAGAAUGCAACACUGUGGUCAUCUGGUUCUGGCUUCAAGAUCAUUAUGGGAUCUGGAACAAAAUUAAUUGUGCAGACCCAAAAAAAACAAGAGCCAGUCUUUUACAAAUUGAAUGACUCCUACUGUUUGGCAACCGAUUUCACAAACCACAGUGCUGUAAAUUUCAAAGAUGCUACACCAGUGCGAUAUUCAAACCAAGAUUACUACAGCAGCUUCAGCUUUAGUGAUUCAAAUGGAUGCGAUGAAAAAGACUGUGAGUCAGGAUCUUCCGGUCCAAGUGGUUUUGAAUCAGGUGAGUUUGCUUUUAUUAGCACAUUUAUAGUCUGCUGUGUGUUUCUUUUCAUUUGCAGUCCAUUACUACUAGUCUGUUACUGCCUAACAUCUAGCACUAUACAACAAUAA
rnacentral:lncRNA from 1 species